rnacentral:rRNA from 1 species
ACUCAAAGGAAUUGACGGGGGCCCGCACAAGCGGAGGAACAUGUGGUUUAAUUCGAUGAUACGCGAGGAACCUUACCCGGGCUUGAAUUGCAGACGAAUAAUGAGGAAACUUGUUAGCCAGCAAUGGCGUCUGUGAAGGUGCUGCAUGGUUGUCGUCAGCUCGUGCCGUGAGGUGUCGGCUUAAGUGCCAUAACGAGCGCAACCCUUAUCAUUAGUUACUAGCAGGUAAAGCUGAGGACUCUAGUGAGACUGCCGCCGUAAGGUGAGAGGAAGGGAGGGAUGACGUCAAAUCAGCACGGCCCUUAUGUCCGGGGCGACACACGUGUUACAAUGGGGGGUACAGAGGGGAGCUACCAUGCGAAUGGGAGCGAAUCCUUAAAAAGCCUCUCUCAGUUCGGAUUGGAGUCUGCAACUCGACUCCAUGAAGCUGGAUUCGCUAGUAAUCGCGCAUCAGCCAUGGCGCGGUGAAUACGUUCCCGGGCCUUGUACACACCGCCCGU